UACGUAGGGUGCGAGCGUUGUCCGGAAUUAUUGGGCGUAAAGAGCUCGUAGGCGGUUUUGUCGCGUCUGCCGUGAAAGUCCGGGGCUCAACUCCGGAUCUGCGGUGGGUACGGGGCAGACUAGAGUGAUGUAGGGGGAGACUGGAAUUCCUGGUGUAGCGGUGAAAUGCGCAGAUAUCAGGAGGAACACCGAUGGCGAAGGCAGGUCUCUGGGCAUUAACUGACGCUGAGGAGCGAAAAGCAUGGGGGAGCGAACAGG
rnacentral:rRNA from 1 species